rnacentral:rRNA from 1 species
UACGAAGGGGGGCUAGCGUUGUUCGGAAUUACUGGGCGUAAAGCGCACGUAGGCGGAUAUUUAAGUCAGGGGUGAAAUCCCCAGAGCUCAACUCUGGAACUGCCUUUGAUACUGGGUAUCUUGAGUAUGGAAGAGGUAAGUGGAAUUGCGAGUGUAGAGGUGAAAUUCGUAGAUAUUCGCAGGAACACCAGUGGCGAAGGCGGCUUACUGGUCCAUAACUGACGCUGAGGUGCGAAAG